rnacentral:rRNA from 1 species
GACGAACGCUGGCGGCGUGCUUAACACAUGCAAGUCGAACGGAAAGGCCUGCUUUCCCUUGUGGAUUGCGGGUACUCGAGUGGCGAACGGGUGAGUAACACGUGAGUGAUCUGCCCCCAACUUGGGUAUAAGCCUGGGAAACUGGGUCUAAUUCCCGAUAGGACUGCAGGGUGGUGCCUGUGGUGGAAAACGAUUUUCUAGUGGUUGGGGAUGAGCUCGCGGCCUAUCAGCUUGUUGGUGGGGUAAUGGCCUACCAAGGCGGCGACGGGUAGCCGGCCUGAGAGGGGGGACGGCCACAUUGGGACUGAGAUACGGCCCAGACUCCUACGGGAGGCAGCAGUGGGGAAUAAUGCACAAUGGGCGGAAGCCUGAUGCAGCGACGCCGCGUGGGGGAUGACGGGCUUCGGGUGGUAAACUCCUUUCGACCGCGAGGAAGCCACCUGGUUGGAAGGGUGGUGACGGUAGUGGUAGAAGAAGCACCGGCUAACUACGUG